UGCGCUUGCUGCAGCUGCUGGGUGCUCGCGAGGAGCCUCGGGAGCCGCGGUCACGUGCGUCGGGCCUGACGCGCGCCAGCGGAGCCCGACUUUCUGUUUCCUUUUAAUUGCGCCCACUUCCGCAAAGAAGGGCUCCAUCUCUGAGCCCGGGAGGUGGAAGCCGGGAUGGCUGCCCCUGCCUGUGGGGGCUCCCUUUCUCUCCAGCCACUCCCAUCGCCCUUUCUCUGUGGUCACAUGCUCGCCGCCUGCUGUCACCUCCACCCGCCCUAUUUCAAGACCACUGGUUAGAAAAUAGCCGGCGUGAGCCUGGAGGGUUUUUGGUGUCUUUUCUGAAGCAGACUGAAGCUAGGACACCUGAAAGGCCUACCUGGAGACAAGCGACAAGUGACAGCUGGGUCGGCAGAGUGACCGCUAGCAAGGACUCUGGAAGCUGCCUUUUGUUUCAUUCUUAGUAAAGUAUUUAGUUCCGAGUGGAAAAAACCAAAGGCUGUUCAGGUUUUGGCAGUGCAACCUAAUGCUCCUUGGUUUGGGCUCCUGUAGCUCAAACUUGUAUGAUAGGGAGUUGGGGAAGAGGUCAGCACUCUGACAGUCUUAUGAGCAAGUUUAAAUUUAAAAAUCAGUGCUAAUCAGUUACUGUCUGGGGUUGGGUUCAUGACUGAGGAGUCUCAUGACUCAGUACAUUGGCUGCAGUAAACAAUGCCUGUAGUUGGAUAAUCUCCCGCUGUGCUGGCCAGGCCCACUCCCUUGACAAUCCACAAUCUCCAGAGUGGAGCAGGAUCAUCCCUAGUGUCUUUGGAUAAGGAGGGUCAGGGUUGCGGUGCAGUGCUCUCAGGCCAAAUGUAUGGUAAAAGUCGAGCCUGGGUGGAAGAUCUGUGUCCGGACUAGUGUUAGGGAGGCCUUCCUCUUGGACCGUGAAAGGUCUAGCCUCUACCCAGGACUGGAACUUAGCACAAGCCCCAAAGCCAGGUUCUGCAUCGACUCCAGUUACUUACCAAACUGCAGCAAAGACAAAAGGCAAGCCUGUAAAUUAGACUAGUUAACACCCGCCUGCCCCCCACCCCCGCGCCCCACCGCCACCAAGUGUGAGCAAAGUAAUGGAAAACCAAGGAUGCCUAGGAGGCAGGAAGGUAUUCCUGCCCAGCCAGUUCAUGCUGUGACAGGUAGAGCAGCAGAGAAGCUGUUCAGAGCCCUGGAUGGAACUUUACUCUGGAAGCAGCCUGAAGAAGACUGAGCCCAGCUACUCAUUCUGAAAAAGAGACCUCUUUGGUCCCUGCCUGGGAUUUGUCUGUAGCUAUCCUACUUCUGAUGAUCAAGACACUUUGUAAAUUCCUCUGAAAAAGAUCCACCGACUCCUGAUGACCAGCUGAGAUCUCAGCUUAACGGAAGGCAGGAACCUGUAGUAUCUUGAAGACACAUACCAGAACCCUAUAAAUGCUCACACCUCCUUGCCUGCUGCAUCAGACCUGCUCCUGGGAAAUCUGUUUGUGUAACACUGUGCACAAGGCUGAGUCUGUACACCUGAUAUUCUUUCUGAGACACUGAAAACAACCUGCUUACUCCGUCUCCUUCAUUUUCCCUUCACACUUUUAAAGUCUGGGAUACGUUUGUUUUCUUGCCUUUAAAUGUCCCUUGCCAGGAAAAAGCAAGGAUUCGUAAUUAACCUAAACUUUGCUUCUCUGAGGAAGUUCAACCUGGCAUUCUGAAUUUAUUCCUGCGGGUCAAAAUACCCUGCUUCCAGUCUGGUGGCAGGAGUUUUCUUUCCCUCGAACGCUGGAUGAACAGGUUGGGACCUGCUGCUCCCAGAAACCACACUCUUAGCUGGCUGGCUCUGGCUCUAGGUAGCAUCACAUGUCAUGGCCUGCAGAGCUGGCCUUUGCCUCACUAUAAAGUGCCAGGAAGCACCAGCUGGUUGAAUCUAUCAUCGGACAGUCAAGGCUCACCCAGGGGUGCUGAGAAGUGAGCCAGUGGCCCAUAUGGCCUUCGUCAGACUAUGGCAGACUGGCUCCCAGAGCAAAUAAUGUCAUCAGCUUGUCUCUCUCCACAUUCCUGUGUCAGCUGCUAAGGAGAAGAAAGGCGAGCUCAUGGAAGGAUUCAGGGAAAGGUUGUGCCUCCUGAGUCAGAAUGACACCCUGCAGGGCUUAGAAGAUUCUCCUGGCUAUGCCAG